rnacentral:rRNA from 1 species
AACGAACGCUGGCGGUAUGCUUAACACAUGCAAGUCGAACGGAUUUUGGGGCAACUCAAAGUUAGUGGCAAACGGGUGAGUAAUGUAGAGGAAUCUCCCUAGCAGUAAGGAAUAAUCUCGGGAAACUGAGACUAAUACCAUAUAUUACCGACCUAGUCGGGAAAGAUUUAUCGCUGUUAGAUGAGCCUCUAUCGGAUUAGCUAGUUGGCGGGGUAAAUGCCCACCAAGGCGAUGAUCCGUAGCUGGUCUG